rnacentral:siRNA from 1 species
AUACUGAAAUUCCACUGUGUAGGA